GGACAAACAGCCCACAGUGUCUGCUCUGCCAUCUGGGAAUAGCGGCAGUCUACUUUCUUCAACACUUCUUUCUACUGAGGUGGAACUAAAGCUAUGCUGUGUGCAACUGCAAACAUUAGAAAUGUACCUGGCUCCAAUGUCUGCUAGACCAAUCUACUGCCAACCUUGUGCAGUGUGGAGAUUCUGGAUGUACUCACUUGAUAAAGGUUAACUCUGCCUAGAAAAAAUCAAGU
rnacentral:lncRNA from 12 species